UACGGAAGGCAGCAGUGGGGAAUAUUGCACAAUGGGCGAAAGCCUGAUGCAGCUAUGCCGCGUGUAUGAAGAAGGCCUUAGGGUUGUAAAGUACUUUCAUCGGGGAGGAAAAACAAAACUAAUAAUUUUAUUUCUUGACGUUACCCGAAAAAGAAGCACCGGCUAAUUCCGUGCCAGCAGCCGCGGUAAUACGGAGGGUGCUAGCGUUAAUCAGAAUUACUGGGCGUAAAGAGCACGUAGGUGGUUUUUUUAAGUCAGAUGUGAAAUCCCUGGGCUUAACCUAGGAACUGCAUUUUGAAACUGAAAUACUAGAGUAUCGUAGAGGGAGGUAGAAUUCUAGGUGUAGCGGUGAAAUGCGUAGAUAUCUGGAGGAAUACCUGUGGCGAAAGCGGCCUCCUAAACGAAUACUGACACUGAGGUGCGAAAGCGUGGGGAGCAAACAGGGAUUAGAUACC
rnacentral:rRNA from 1 species